UACGUAGGGUGCGAGCGUUAAUCGGAAUACUGGGCGUAAAGCGUGCGCAGGCGGUGAUGUAAGACAGAUGUGAAAUCCCCGGGCUCAACCUGGGAACUGCAUUUGUGACUGCAUCGCUGGAGUGCGGCAGAGGGGGAUGGAAUUCCGCGUGUAGCAGGUGAAAUGCGUAGAGAAUGCGGAGGAACACCGAUGGCGAAGGCAGCCCCCUGGGCUAACACUGACGCCUCGAGGCACGAAAGCGUGGGGAGCAAACAGG
rnacentral:rRNA from 1 species